UACGAAGGGGGCUAGCGUUGUUCGGAUUUACUGGGCGUAAAGCGCACGCAGGCGGGUUGUUAAGUCAGGGGUGAAAUCCUGGAGCUCAACUCCAGAACUGCCUUUGAUACUGGCAACCUAGAGGCUGGAAGAGGUUAGUGGAAUUCCCAGUGUAGAGGUGAAAUUCGUAGAUAUUGGGAAGAACACCAGUGGCGAAGGCGGCUAACUGGUCCAGAUCUGACGCUGAGGUGCGAAAGCGUGGGGAGCAAACAGG
rnacentral:rRNA from 1 species